UACAGAGGGUGCGAGCGUUAAUCGGAAUUACUGGGCGUAAAGCGCACGUAGGCGGAUUGCUAAGUCAGGGGUGAAAUCCUGGAGCUCAACUCCAGAACUGCCUUUGAUACUGGCGAUUUUGAGUCCGGGAGAGGUGAGUGGAACUGCGAGUGUAGAGGUGAAAUUCGUAGAUAUUCGGAGGAACACCAGUGGCGAAGGCGGCUCACUGGUCCAUUACUGACGCUGAGGUGCGAAAGCGUGGGGAGCAAACAGG
rnacentral:rRNA from 1 species